AAUUACCGAAAGCGAAAUGGAACAGAGGUCAGGCGUUUCGCGGUGAUACCUCGGGAAAUCAUAGAUACCUGUCGCUCACACCGAGUUCGUCGUGCAACGGAACUAAGUUGACAUCGGCCGAGUAUUAAUCACUCCACUGACGUCACUUCGCUGAAAUAUCUAGACAAGAUUAAUCGUCUGUUUUUUAACGCUCGCAGCUUUAUUUUUAUGAUUCUAUCAUCAUGUCCUAUGCGACAGACCGGCACUCGGACGAAGCCAAUGAAAAUGAAAAUCAUACCAGCACCGAGAAAAAGUUGCUAUAGAACGCGAAAGAUCCAUUCGACGAACUCAUAUACAUUCGCAACGCGUCAGGAAAAACCUCGUAAAACUAUCGUCAGACCCUCGUUAUCAAUAUCUCGCCAGAUUGCGCAAACUACACCGUCGUAAAUGGUUACAGGUACGACUUCUGUCAACAAUGGGAUUUACGAAGCAACUCGAUAACUAUUAUCAUAAAAAAUAAAUGUUUAACAUUUUGAUUCUAAUUGAAUUUCUUCAAGAGAAAAAUAAUUUCCUGGAAAGAAUUUUUAUUCGGGCAAGUGAAAUUGAUGAGAAAGUAGCGGAAAUAAUAACAAAGAGGAUAUUAUUGCAGUAUAAUAAUUCGUAAUACGUGAACAUCCUUCUAGGACAUCAUUAUCAUCCUUAUCACCAUGGUCGGUGCGGUACCACGACGUUAAAUUUUCGGCCUCACGUGCCGUCAGUUCUAAAGAGGACACGACGCUGAUACAUACUUGUUAUUCAUUUGAUUAGUUUCGUCAACAUGGAAUCCGCGAGUACAAGAACCUCCGCCUCGUUGCAAGACAUUCUUGGAAGUCACGGCCACCUCUGCCCACCGCGGGUUAAAGGCGGCGCUAAGGUACGAAAGCUGCGAGCGUUUAAGAGUUCCAAGGACGCAUAAAUAGCAAGCUCGUUUGCCCGAACAAGUCCUCACUCCCGAAACUCGGUACAAGAGGAGCUGGCAAAUUCCUCGUUCCAUUUUCAUCCCAGACAAUAUGCCUCUCGCGGCACGACGAACUUUCUCGGAACAUAUUUUUUCGUAGAACGUCGCGGGGUUGGAGCGCGUCUUAAAUCAUUUGGAUCUUCUCCUUCUCGUACUCGGUGGAAUAUCUGCUCGGUUCGAGAAGCGGAACGAAAGCAGGCUCUGCGAAUAAAGGAAGAGCGGAGGGAACGGAAAGAGAGGACAUCGCGGUCCAGCGCGGGACGUCGGAAAGGGUUGUCAGCUCAGAAGGGGAUUAAAGAAGAACGGAAUUUCUAGUAGUUAUGCCUGCCGGACUCGCAGCCUGCCUUGAAUUAUGAUCGCGCCCACUCCAGUCUCUAUUAAAGUAAUAAAUUUCCAAUUCAAUAAUAUGUCGAGUAUCGUCGGAUACAACCACUGUUCGACCUAUUCCUUUGCUUAUAGCCUUGUAUACGUGUUUCUUUUCACCUAGGCGUCUCCGUGUCGAUCUCGAACGAACUGUAUAUUCGGGUUCAACGAAAUCUACGUGCGCUGCACUGGCAACGUCCGAGGCUGUAUACGUAUAUGAACGGGCGGUCAUAUGUUCCGACACUUGACAAAUUGUCCCAAUCCGGAACUCGCCGUUAAUCUAUUCGUCGUUACCUCUCUGUUCGUCGGAUCUUGCACGAAGAUCGAUAUCGUCAUUGGCAAACUGCCUAAGUCCGAAUAUGCCGGAUGUGUAACCAGCAGGAUUCUGUCGUCUUGCGAAAUGGACCGACGACGCGAUGUUCCUCUUUCUGUUAUUCUCUUCGAACGAUUCGCGCGUUCUUUAUGACCAGUGGCAGUGGAGUAGAGAAGCCGCUAACUCGUCCUCCGAAUCCACGCGUUUACGGAUUAUCACAGCGGAUAGCCGGCCGUUCCUACUCGACUAGAAGAGAUUACACGCUCCGAACUUCGACAGUUAACGCCGCGAUAAAUUAUAGACCGUGGUGAAGAUCGCGCAUUGACGUACGUGCGGUUACGUCACUGUUGCCCCGCUCGCCACUAUUAUCCUUUCCCGCAACACGCGACCCAACAUCACGAAUGAUGCACCGUCCAAGUUUCCAACUUUUCAUCGAUGAAUCUUAAUUCGGCUGGUGCGUUGCUCCAACUCGCGGUAUCCUCGUAAUUUCAACUUACCAAAUAUAACUAUGUUGCGUUGUUCUGCGAUAAAUGACGAACAACGGAGUGAAUCAAGGCUUGAGUUGAUUUCAUAGUUUCAUUGUUCAACGAAGCAAUGGUAUUCGUUAACAAAAUAAAAAAAAAAAAUAAAAAAUGAGAAUGAAACAAUUUAUCGAAUCCGAAUACGUGUGAAGCUGUCUCAAAAUACGACAAUAUAACAAACAAAUUGCGAAUUGACGAAUCUGAUUCGUUGGUUGAACUUUCAUUAAGCGAGUUAUACACUUUCGUCCGAAUAAUUACAAUUUAUUUUGCUGAAUCGAAAAAUACAGGAGAAGAGAUUUUAAUUUUCAAUCAGAAGCGCAGCGAGCCUACUUUAACCUUGUGCAUGCACUAUCGAUUUUCCUGCGGCCGGGUCACUCGGAACUGUAGCAAGCUACCCUUAUAAAUUUGGUGGCUAACAAUGUGGCGAUAAAUCGUAGCUCGUGUGCUGCUAUAAUCUCCGGCUGAUUUCCACAAUUUCCCAGAUGUCACUUAGAAAUUCCUCGUUCGCUAAAUCUACAACGUUUCAAUGACACUCGUCGUUGGACCACUGUGUGGUUUCCAUGUAGGUAUUAACAAUGUUUGUGAUAUUUAACUUUCUAUAAUAUUCCUGCCGCAAAGAAAAAACUUAGAAUACUCUCUCUCUCUCUCUCUCUCUCUCUCUUUUGUAAUUUAGCUAGAUUCAGUAGACAUUCGAAAUGGUCAGAUUGCACGGCUCUUUGUUUUCGUUACGUUUGCUUUGACGAUCCAACGCUGUUUAACGGACGUAAAAACUGUCACAGGAAUUUCAAAAGGUCCACUUAUAAAGAAAAGCCAGCAAAAAAACGGAAUCUUUGAUUGUGCUUUGAUCAAAAUCGUUUCGACCUGGUGAAAUGGUUACGUAGCUUAACCGCGACGCGACAAACUUGAACCUUUGAGUAUUUCACCAGUGCUUACGCGUUGGGUUACAUUUUUGCAAAGAGGAAGGGAAAGCCUAUUUAUUCCAGUUUCUUCCACUUCUCUCUGCCCUGCCUGAAAGGUCAAGAGAAACGGUCGUUUGCCGUGGACGGCGAGGGGAAAACAUCGGGGAAAAAGCGAAAUUGAAAAAUUCACGUGGUUGCUUUACGCAGACGGUGAACACUCAACACAAACUGCCGGCUUGAAAGUG